rnacentral:rRNA from 1 species
GCCGCGGUAAUACGUAGGGUGCAAGCGUUAUCCGGAAUUAUUGGGCGUAAAGGGUGCGUAGGUGGCGGAGUAAGUCUGGUGUGAAAUCCCGGGGCUCAACCCCGGAACUGCACUGGAUACUGCUUUGCUUGAGUACUGGAGAGGAGAUUGGAAUUUACGGUGUAGCAGUGAAAUGCGUAGAUAUCGUAAGGAAGACCAGUGGCGAAGGCGAAUCUCUGGACAGUUACUGACACUGAGGCACGAAGGCCAGGGGAGCAAACGG